rnacentral:misc_RNA from 1 species
CUAUCGUGAAUUUCUCUAUUAUCAGGUGGUUUAUGCAUUGGGAGUUAGGGUUUUAGGCUUUACUUUCUUGGAUUGAAUUUUUCAAGUGGGAUAUAUCAGAGGAAGAAGAUGUUCUCUGUUCUUGUUUAACUUUAACAAUCGAGUUUAAAAUUAGUGUUUCUUUCCUUUCAAUUUCAAUCUUAGCUUUCUUCUUCACCGCCUUCCCGGCCCUCCUCCUAUCCAUACAAUUGUUUCCUUGUCGCUCUUAAUCCUCUCUUUAAUCCACUGCUGUUGCAAUUGGAGCAAUCAAAUCAU